CAAUAGCGUAUAUUUAAGUUGUUGCAGUUAAAAAGCUCGUAGUUGGAUUUCUGCUGAUCGCUGUCGGUCUGCCGUCAGGUGUGUACUGGCAGUGUUUGGCAUCUAUUCGAGAUUGGGCGUCCACUUGAUUGUGUGCACUCGAUGUCGGAGCUAAUACUUUGAGAAAAUUAGAGUGUUCCACGCAGGCGCGUGCCUUGAAUACUGCAGCAUGGGAUAUUGGAAGGCCGAUUGAGCUUUCUUGUUGGUUCUCGGUUUGAUCGGAAUGAUUAAUAGGGAUAGUUGGGGGCAUUCGUAUUCAACUGUCAGAGGUGAAAUUCUUGGAUUUGUUGAAGACGGACUACUGCGAAAGCAUCUGCCAUGGAUGUUCUCAUUGA
rnacentral:rRNA from 1 species